rnacentral:lncRNA from 1 species
GAGUUUCUCAUUUCAAAAGGUUUUUACCUGGCUGAACUACUACUACUAACAAACUCUAUUCUUCCUGGUUUUAUUUUGUUCCUUUUCUUUCGUUUUUUCUGUGGUGUUCUCCACCAGCUGUAGGCCUGGAGGCAUUCUCGUUUUUUCCCAAGCAAGUCCUGUUGGGAUAAAAAAACACCUCUAUAGUAUUUAGCCUCAUUUACAUUCCUCCCUCCCACUCCCCAUCACCACAGGUGAUUUCCCCAUAUUCACCUUGCCCUUGAAAGAAGCCUGGGGUCCCAUUUCUCCCUCCGCCUCCCAUGAGGGAAAGCAGCCUCUGGGGAAAACGCCUGGCAAAAAUAACAGAGCCAAAGGAUUGUAUGAACAGCCAUAUUCCCCUGACUUGUCAAGCUGGCUAAAGGAUUGACAGCUUCCUCUUGGAAUUCGGAAAAAAGCAGUUAGCCCUUCGAUGCUGGUCAAUCCUAUGCGCUAAUUAGCUUAGGACUGGAUUGUGCUCCAUUUGAGCUCUCGGACUCUCAAAAAAAAAAGUCUUCAGUAGCACAGAAUUCUUCUUCCUUAUGUGAGAUGCCUCUCCUCACUACCUAGCUGCCAGUCACUCUCUCAGGCCAGGAACGACGACAGGAGGCCCAUUAAUGGAACGCAAGGAGAAAGCAGACCAGGAACAGGCACUAACUUGGCUGAGGGGAAAACUCAAAACCCAGAUGCAAGGCCAGGAACUAAGAGGCAUAAAAAAAAAGUGCCUCCAAAAACAAAACAAAACAAAACAAAACAAAAAAAAACACCCCAAAAGCCACAGUUAAAAAGGAAGUGUGAUAACUACAGAAAAGAGGAGAGAAACAGCCAUAACAACACAGGUUGCCUCCCUCAUUUAGUAUUCUGAAGAACAAGGAUUUCCAAAAAUAUGAUUGGCGUUUUUCAGUAGCUUUUACUUACGCAGGCUUUAGUGUUCUUCCUCUAGAACACCUCUACAUAACUUACCUAGAGAGUGUUACUCACAAGAUCCUUCAGAAGAACUCAUGCUCAAAUAAUCCAAACUGCAAAGCUUAACGUUUUGCCCCCAACCUGCUUCGGUUGUUAUGAUCAAGCAUCCAGAAGACAACCACCAAUUACCAAAUUAGCAGAGGAAAUCACAGGACUAGAACACCCAACUCAGAGUGAGCCAGCCAUUUCAGCUUUACAUUUACUAGGAAUUCUGAGUAUGGUUCUGGGAUCCAUUUAGACACUACAAACCUGAAUUUCUCACCACAGGAUCUUACCUGGUUUGCCAUGGUUGAAAGAAUCUGUCUUCUGUCUUUCUCAAGGAAUGCAGCUGCAAACGCUCAGUUUAUUGCAGUCCGUCAGCUAGAAAAAAUGUGAGGGAGGGGCAAGAAUAAUCUUAACUUUGAGGUCAGUUUCUUAGAUGCUCACCCUGUCCAACGCUUUUAAUAUUAUUAAUUCACAACUCGGGAGUUUCAUUUCUGAUGUGUCUCAAUUGUUUUAGCCAUGACAAGAAGGAUACAUAGCCAAGGGGACUACGAUUAGAAGUCUUCUUCAUUUUCU